GAUGAAGAACGCAGCGAAAUGCGAUAAGUAAUGUGAAUUGCAGAAUUCAGUGAAUCAUCGAAUCUUUGAACGCGCAUUGCGCCCCCUGGUAUUCCGGGGGGCAUGCCUGUCCGAGCGUCAUUACAACCCUCAAGCUCAGCUUGGUGUUGGGCCCCGCCGCCCCGGCGGGCCCUAAAGUCAGUGGCGGUGCCGUCCGGCUCCGAGCGUAGUAAUUCUUCUCGCUCUGGAGGUCCGGUCGUGUGCUCGCCAGCAACCCCCAAUUUUUUUCAGGUUGACCUCGGAUCAGGUAGGGAUACCCGCUGAACUUAAGCAUAUCAGUAAGCGGAGGA
rnacentral:misc_RNA from 1 species